AUGGCUGUGAGCUUCACAGGUGGUCAGGUCGUGACCCUGACUGAAUCUGAGUCUGUGGUCAUUAAUCCUGGAGGAUCUCACAAACUGACCUGCACAGCCUCUGGGUUCACAUUCAGUAGCUACUGGAUGGUCUGGGUCAGACAGGCUCCUGGGAAAGGCCUGGAAUGGUUGUCAGCUAUCACAGGUGGUGGCACUACAUAUUAUUCAAGCUCUGCACAGGGACGAUUCAGCAUCUCCAGAGACAACAACAAGAAUCAACUCUAUCUGCAGAUGGGCAGUCUGAAGACUGAGGACACAGCUGUUUAUUACUGUGCUCGAGAGUCACAGUGGUGUGAAAGUCUGCAGCACA